GAGAACUGGCUCAUCACCAAGGGGAUGGCACGAAUCCGUUCCUGCGGGAUCGGUUCCCAUCAUCCAAUACCUCCCACCAGACUCCACUUCCAUCAUUGGAGGUCACAUUUCAACUAAGAUUUGGAGGGGACCGUAUCCUAACUAUAUUAACUUCCAAUUUUCAUCGAAAGCCCACCUGUCUAAGAAGAGCUCCUAGACAUUCCCUUUCCCCUUCAACUUGGAGGAAUUGGGAAUGACAAAGAGAAAUUAAUCAAAAGAAGAAUUAAUCUCUCCAAUCAGCCUUGGCAUUUUCUUUCUAUCUUUGAUAUGUUGUUUUUUACAGUGUCUUGGUUUUCAGAAUAAGCUGUUUGUAACUACUUCCUCCACUAUAUUGUGAGCCUCUGGAGGGCAAGGUCUGGGCCUUACUCAUCUUUGAGUAAUUUUAAAGCCACUAAAUAGGGCUCUGCACAUAGUGAGAAUUCAACAUAUGCUUAGUUGAAUCUAAUAUUUCAGAAAAAGUCAACAUCUAUUCUUUAAGAUAGCCCACAGCAGGCUGAGUGUGUUAUUCGUAAAUCCAUUGGCCAGCGUCAUUUCCUCCAAAGUGCAGCAUUUUUGAUAGAACCAAAGGCUCAUGACUGACCUUCAGAAAGACAUUUUGUAUUUCACCAUCAAAGAGUGGUAUGGGUUUUAUUAGACUUCCGUAAUCCAGGUCUCGUUUCUCAGGCAACUCUGAAGCGUAUCACACUUUAUCUGAGAGGGUCACAAUUAGUGAAGGAAGGAAUUGGCCUUUGCAAGUUUGUGUUGCUCACGAACUUAUUAAAUUGCUUGAUUUUUUUUUUUCUUCCUAGCUUUGAUAGAUUGACUUUGCCUCUUUUACUGCGUGCAUAGUGCCAUCUUGUGGCCAUAAAGCAUAUAACACUCAUAGUUAUGCCACAGUGCUUCUGUUCCAUCUUAUUUCUGUAGUCCAGAGGAUCUCUUAAGUGUAGAAACACAUGGAUUAUUACUAGCCAAGGCCAUCACUGGCCAAGCCCAUCUAAAAGCCAGAGGCAGCAAGCAGUGCCCGUUGAAACAUCCAUAAAAGGUGAUAUUUGGUUAGCAACGUCCUACUGUAGACAUUUUGAUGUGGUGGUGAUUGGAAUAUGGUCUGCAGAGAUCAACCAGAAUUAGCUCCAUGUGCCACUGGGAGUGGGAACUGAAGUCACGCAGGAAUAAACCAGUCUUCAUGCUUUA
rnacentral:lncRNA from 1 species